rnacentral:rRNA from 1 species
UACGUAGGAGGCGAGCGUUGUCCGGAUUUACUGGGCGUAAAGCGCGUGUAGGCGGCUUGGUUAGUCUGCUGUGAAAGCUCUCCGCUUAACGGAGAGAGGUCGGUGGAUACUGCCAGGCUUGAGGACGGUAGAGGGGGGUGGAAUUCCCGGUGUAGUGGUGAAAUGCGUAGAGAUCGGGAGGAACACCAGUGGCGAAGGCGGCCCCCCUGGGC